rnacentral:rRNA from 1 species
CCCUUAGAUGUCCUGGGCCGCACGCGCGUUACACUGAUGCAUUCAACGAGCUUAUAACCUUGGCCGAGAGGCCUGGGCAAUCUUGUUAACGUGCAUCGUGAUAGGGAUAGAUUAUUGAAAUUAUUAAUCUUGAACGAGGAAUUCCUAGUAAACGCAGAUCAUCAAUCUGCAUUGAUUACGUCCCUGCCCUUUGUACACACCGCCCGUCGCACCUACCGAUUGGAUGUUCCGGUGAGCUCUUCGGACUGCGCGGUCUGCAGUUUCUGCGUUCCGUGCGGAAAGUUGCGCAAACCUUAACAUUUAGAGGAAGGAGAAGUCGUAACA